rnacentral:rRNA from 1 species
UACGUAGGGCGCAAGCGUUGUCCGGAAUUAUUGGGCGUAAAGAGCUCGUAGGCGGUUUGUCGCGUCUGUCGUGAAAGCUUGGGGCUUAACCCCAAGUCUGCGGUGGAUACGGGCAGACUAGAGGCAGGUAGGGGAGAACGGAAUUCCCGGUGUAGCGGUGAAAUGCGCAGAUAUCGGGAGGAACACCGGUGGCGAAGGCGGUUCUCUGGGACGUUACUGACGCUGAGACGCGAAAGCGUGGGGAGCAAACAGG